rnacentral:rRNA from 1 species
UUUAAAUUGAGAGUUUGAUCCUGGCUCAGGACGAACGCUGGCGGCGUGCUU